GCUGCCUCUGCCCCCACUCCCUCCUCCCCCCACCCGCCGUAACGCCCCCUCCCCCCACCGCACCCUUCGCGCAGCUGCAGCUGCUGCUUCUGCGUUGGAGCACGCGGGCUCAGUUGAGGGGGAGGGGCCCUUGGAAGACGGUUGGGAAGCCGACGGUUAGAGUGAAGCUGGCAGCUCUCGAUUUAAGAGCUUCUCCCGUGUGCCCUUGUCAACGUUCACUUAUUAAGGGCCUACUGGUGGCACCGACGUUUUCUGGGCACCCACUGUGUAUCCACUGGCACAAGAAAUGGCAAACAUUGAUGUAUUAAGCCCUGGCACUGCCGCAGAGACCGAGCCAUGGGGUCAACAUUAUCCUUUACAGCUAAGAGGGUGGCUUGGGUGUGAGGACGGACCUAGGUUUAAGGCCUUCGGGAACCUAUCCAAAUCACUUUCCCUCCCAGUGCCCCUAAGGGCGCAGUCUAGACCCCUUUGUGGAGGGAGACCCCUCCACACCCUAUUCUUCAGGCUCAUUGGCUACACUCAGAACCUCCAAACCAUUGAUAACUACGGAAUCCAAACAAUCCAUUAUCGAUAAACAUUUAUCAGUCGCUUACGAGUGCCAGGCAUUAUGGGAGGGGAGAGGACUACCAGAGGCGAAAGGUACUCUCCUCCCUCAAGGAGAUUACAAUCUAAUGGGGGGAGGGGAAGGCGCUAUUUGUAUAUAUAAGAUAUAGGCUUUAUAGAAGAUAAAUCUGACCCCAGACAUUUCCCAGCUGUGUGACCCUGAGUCAGUCACUUAAUCCGUUGCCUCGGAACCAAUACACAGUAUUGUUUUUAAGACCGAAGAUAAGUGGUUAAAAAAAAAAAGAUGAGAUGGAAUUUAGAGGGGGUGGAGGAGAGAUUUUAGUUGGGACUUAAAGGAAGUUAGAGGUCAGCAUUGUGAGUGGAGGAGGGAGAGGAGUCUGGGUAUGGGGAAUGAGUCCAGAGCCGUCUAAACCUAAGGCAGGAGGUCAGUGUGACUGGAUGGAGGUCUAUGUACCAGGGAGUCUAGGAGGGAUCUAGGUUUUGAAGAACUUGGAAUGCCAAACUGCAUUUUGGGUUUGAUCUUGGAGGGAACAGGGAGCCCAUGGAGGUGGAGUUUAUGGAGUGUGGGAAUGAUAUGAGAUCAUACUUUCAAUUUAGGAAAAUCAAAGGGGGGGGGAGGGGUUAAUGGAGAAUGGAUUAGACUGAGGAGAACUUGAAGCUGGCACACUAUGGCAAUAAGGAAAACAUAAUCCCUGCCCUCAAGGAGUUUUUAUAUUUUAUUGUGGAAGACAAGAGGCCAAACUAAACCAUCUCUAGUCCUCUAGAUAGUCUAUCCCCUGCCUCCCUUGGGAGGACUAUACCUCAGCCUUGUACUAUCGGGCUGGUGGAAGUCCCAGAUAAAACACACAACAUGCUUGGAGAUUAAUCUGUUAACAUUUUCUCCACCACUUUCUAAAAUCUAAACAAUCAAUAAAACAAUAAAUCAUGCCCUAAUUUGUAGUGCUGGCCAAUUUCUUCAGUGUAAAAUGCUCACACUGAAAAUUUAAAAAUUAGGCUCUCCAGCAAACCCUAGGCCCAAACUCCAUUCCAUGGAACACAGCCCUUCCCCACUUGCCCCUCAUUGUCUCAUCCUUUUAAAAUGCAGUUCAGACACCAUCUGUAAGAAGUCUUCCCUAUUCCUCCAACAGCUGCUUGGGCCCUUUCUCCCAGGCUAGCUUGUAUUUAAUUUAUAUCCAUAUAUAAUUUUUAUAAUUUUGCUGAAAAUGUUUUUUUUAAUGCUCUUGUUUUUCUCCCCCACUUAAAUAUAAAUUUCUAGGAACUGAGUAGGAAUUCAUUUUGUGGUUAUAUCCCCUGUCUAGCAAAUGGCCUGGCACAUAGUAGGUGUUUGAGAUCUGAACAAUGAAAGUAUUGUGCUCUGGGGCUACAAAAAGGAAGAAAUCGAGUACCCUCAAGGAGUUUACUUUUCAUUAUUACAAAGCUAUUUCAGUAACAUUUUAAGGUUCACAAAGGGUUUUCCUCUCAGAAAACCUGGGGAUCCUCUAAGAUUUAGAAGUGGAAGGAAGUUGGACAAAAAGUGAAGUCCAACCCUCUCAUCUUGCAGAUGUGGAAACUGAGCCCCAGAGACCAAAGGGGCCUUGCGUGAUUAAAGUCAUGAAGUGGGGCAGCUAGGUGGUACAAUAGAGAGAGCACCAGGCCUGGUGUCAGGAGGACCUGGAUGCAAAUGUGACUUCAGACAAUUCCUUGCCGAGGGCCUUGAGCCAUUGCCUAGACCUUGUCCUUUUUUCUUAAGACUGUCUUAAAGGAAAAAAAAAAGAAACAUGUUCCUCACCACCACCUGACAAGUUUUGGACUCAAUAUAAAGAAUUGGACAUGGUCAGGCCAAUGUGGGAAAUUUCCUUUGCUUGCCUAUGCAUAAUUGUAAUGAGAGAUUUCUUUCUUUUUUUUUUUGCUCAAAUGGGAUGGCACUUGAAUGGUGAGGAGAGAAACACUUGUUAAUUGAAAAAAUUAAAUUACACACUUAUAUAUGGCCAGCCUUAAACUUCAGAACUAUAUAGUAGGUUUCCAUUUCCAACUACUUAUUGGGCAUCUCCACCUCAAAGACUUACUGGCACCUCAAAACACUCUAUGGUUGCUCCUCCCCCAAAUAUUCCUCUUACUCUCUCCUGGGGACAGACAUUCUCCCUGGGCCUCUUUCCCAAACUCCUUUUGGCUGAAUGAGUUCCUUUCGGGCCUUGGAAUCUUCCUGAAGACUUGUCUGUAUCUUUCCUUUUCCCCACCUUAUAAUAGCUAAGCUCCCAAGAGAAGAAGGUCUGGCAUUUUUCAUAGGGCCCAGAGCCUCGAACUUUGGAAAUGAGAAGGGCCAGAGAAAGGAGGCCAUGAUAACAGCCACUCACGGACAAACCCUCUUUUUCAGUUAUUCAAUUUUAUUUGGUAUUUAUUCCAUAUAUAGUAGUAGUCUCUUGGAAGCCGAGAAUGACGAUUGUCUUUGUGCAUUAUCCUCUAUUGAUGUACCCUCAUGUGGCUUUGAAAUCCAAAGACCGAGGCGCAGAGUUUGUGGCACAUGGGGCAUGGGACGCCAGUUGCAUAUAUAUUAACUUGAAAAAACACAGAACUAUUAAAUAGUUCUUUAGUUAGGAAUAUAAGGGUUCAGUGCUAGAUUAGGCCUCCACAUGGAGGAUUGAACUCUAGUUGCUCUGGUCUGUGACCCCUGGAAACGCCAACUGAGCUAGAUUGGACAAUUCUGAGGAGCCCUUAAAGUGGGAAGUUUAAAUCCCUUUCUAGGGAAGGUGGGGUUGUAGGAUGAGUGGAUUGACUUUACAAGGGUAACAAAGGAAAAUGAGGAGUCCCAGACAGGAAUAACAGUGAGGGGCUGAUGCUUUACGGUGGACACAAAAGGGCUGGGCCUCCUGGGUAAAGGAGUUUGGCCUAAAGGGAGAAACCAUUAGGACAAAAGAGAUAUUUGACACCUGAAGGGAUUAGCUAUCCCCACUUGAACUCCUUUAAGGUCUAUUGUCAUUCUGAGACUCUGAGGUUGGACUUUCCCUCCGGGUCAAACCUGGGGCUUUCACCUUCAAGCUAAGUACACUGGGGGUCAUUAAAUCUUUCUGGGCUACAAGUUUGGGGGGGCCUCUAGAUUCCACGUGACAAUAUAUAUGAUAUUAUCUACUGAUAUUUACAUAUGAAAUAUAGUUUGUUAAUUUCAGAAGAAAAAAUUGUUAUAGGCAGCCCAAGUUCUGAAGCUGCUGCUCCAACCCUUCCUUGUACUGGCAGGUGGGUCCUCAGAGUGGGGUGGGGUGGGGUGGGGGGGCGAUUCUCCUAAAAUACUGCUCUCUCAGCCUGUAUGUGCUGCCCAAUAGCAAGUGGCCAGGUAUCUCUUCACUGUUAUUAUUAGAACUCUGAUCUGGGGCUCCCCUUUCACUUUAACAAAGGGAUGUUUAUUGAAAAUAAGCAAGAUUGCAAUAAUGAAAAUAUCCCCCCCAAGGCCAUGUCUGGGACCUUCCCCCCUCUCUGCACCCCCCAACUUUCCAACCCCUCCCACUUCCUCCUGUUGGACCAUUGGCUCUCCCCCUUCCUGGCCUCUCCAGGGCUGCCUUCCUCAGAACUGGACCUUGCUUCCCUGCCCGGCCGCAGUGGCCGGACCUCUUUUCCCGGUUAGAAGCUGGUCUGUUCUGUCUCAGAUUCUUACUCAUAUGCAGAACAACCACAAACUCAAGAAGCAGAAACAAUCUGGGGGCCUAUUAGCACCCCGGUAUUGCCUUUCCCCAUGCCUGGGGGUCCACAGAGGUUCUUCCUCUCCACCAGCAAGCUGCAUGGGAAGGAGAAAGAUUUCUGUUCUCAGGAGCCUUUUGUAUACUCAGUUCCAGGUCAGGGGCCAGCCUGUCUACCUAGGCCGAGCAGGGGAGAGCUGGCCCUGAAGGGUUCCCAUCCCAGGGCCCUGGCCUCAGGCUCAGCAAGGCUUCCCCUGGGUCUAGAGCAGGCAGGACACCAAGAGGAAAGACUCCUUGGGCCGGGGCUCUCCCCGUCCCUUCUUGUCCCCCCAUCCCGGUGGAUCUCCCGAAAUGCCCGAAUGUUAAUCAGUUGUUUCUGAUAGACUCCAGUUGAAACACAGACUGCAGAGUUUAGUUUAGCUCCCACCCUGCUUCUGCCUCUCUAGCCUCCCCUUUUCUCCAUCCCCUCAUGCAGGCCUCCUUCCAUUCCCCUCUGAUUUCUCCCAAGCUUACAUCGGCACAGCUAACAAAGUGGCACGCCCCCCCCCCCCAACCCCCUUGUGACCUCCAGAUCGAAAAAACCAACAUUUCCCACAUAAUCUGGCUCAACAUAUCUUUUUAGGCCCAUUCAAAAUGGCUCCAUUUUGUGUACACUGUUCAAUACAAAUGAACCUUUUUUCCCUGUGUAUAACACCCUAUCUCCUACCUCCUUGCCUUUGUAUAUGCAAUAUAGAGGAAAACUGUCUUCUGAAUUUAUCUAGAAAUAUUACAAAAUCAUUGGUAGCAUCUAGAUGGCUCUGUGGGUUGAGAGUCAGGCCUAGUGACCAAAGACCCUGGGUUCAAAUGUGGCCUCAGACCCCAUCUAUGUGACCCUGGGCAAGUCAGUUAACCCCCAUUGCCUAACUCUUACCAAUCUUCUGCCUUGGAACCAAUAACCAAGAUGGAAGGUAAUGGUUUAAAAUAAUAAUAAUUGUUGUUGUUGAGUCAUUUCAGUUGUGUCCAACUCUUCAUGAUCCUAUUUGAAUUUUUCUUGGCAAAGAUACUGGAAUGGUUGGCUGUUUUUUGCUCCAGUUCAUUUGACAGAUGAGGAAACAGAGGCAAACAGGUGCAGUGACUUGCCCAGAGUCACACAGUUAAGAAGAGGCAGAUUUGAAUUCAGAAAGAGGAUUAAAAUAUUUCUCUCCAAAGCCCUACUGGGACUUCUGGGAAAGGAGGGAAAUAGAUUGGAACAAAAGAACAAAAAAACUUUUCUUAGAAAAAUAAAUUAAUCACAUUUAACUCCAAGUUCUGCCUGGCCUUUCCCUUCCCUCCUCCUGGCCCCCAAAGUGAUUUGAUAAGAGAUAAAUCCUGGGGCCUCAGGCCGGCCCCCACCCACCUGCUCUCUCCAGAGACCCAGGAUUAAGAUCAAGAUGGCAGGGAGGAGACCUCUUUGUUUAACUCUGGGAGUGGCCCAGAAGGAAUGGGACAGGGAUUUGGUUGCUCUGCUCUGGAAUGUCCACCCUGGCUCCAUUUUGAGAUAGAUUUUCCUGGUUCUGUGUUCCUAUAAAUGUCACCUGAGUUCCCUUUGAGGGCCUGGAGAACCCGGCUAUUCUGGACUGCCUUUUCCAACCUAGAAAUGGCCCCAUUAGGUUAAAGUUUAGGGGAAGGUUCAAUUAACGCAAAUUGUUCCUGGCUGCCUUAAGCCUAAACCACAUAGUUCAGGGUUAGUAUUGUUUUUCUUCAACAGCUGUCAAGGCCCAUUCCUGAAAUGCUUUCUCUCCCUAUCACUUUCUCUUUUUUUUCAUUCUUAAUUUAAAAUGUUUUAUUUAACGUUCUAAAUUCUUUCCUCCUCUCCCCACCUAUCUAGAAAACAAGGAAUACAGUCUGAUAACCCCAUGCCAAGUAUUUCUACAUUAGCCAUGCUGGGGAAAGAAAAAGCUAGAGAAUUUGAGUGCAAAAAAAAAAAUGCUUUGCCUGUGCUCCAAGCUCUCUCUGGAGGUGGAUAACAUUUUUCAUCGAGUCCUUGGGAGUUGUCUCACCAUAGUGUCUAAGAAUCUGUCUCCCUUCUGGGCCCAGAGAAGGGGCAGGGAAAGGAGGAAUGGAGAUGGUUUGGAUCACCUAACUUCAGAAAACGUGGGAAAUUGCCAUUACAUGUAAUUGUUAAAUAAAAUAUCUUUUUUAAAAAAUUGUGUGACCCUGAGCAAGUCACUUACCCUCCCUUGCCUAGCCCUUACUAGUCCCCUGCUUUGGAAUCUAUACUUGAUCUUGAUUCUAAGAUGGAAGGUAACAAACACAUCCCUUUGACUUUAAAAGCCCUUCACAGCCUGGCUCCAACCUCUUUCAGGCCUCAGAUAUUACUCCCCUUCCUGCAUGUUUUGGUCCAACCAGACUAUCUUCAUUUUGGAACAAUGUUCCUUAAACAUAGCCUUCAUCUCCCAUCUCUUUCCCUUUGCAUUGGCCGCCCCUCCCUCCUUUUCUCCCUUUGUAGAAUCACUUUUUUCAAAACCCAGCCCAAGCUUCUCUCUGAAACCUUUCAUGAUCCUCCAAACUUCUCUAGCACCCUUGCCCUAGACGACCUUGUAUUUAUUCUGUAUUUGUCUCCCUUUAAUAGAAUGUAAACUCUCUGUGUUUUUCUUCCCGGUGCCUAGUACAAUGUUUGGUGCAUAACAGGUACAAAAGAAAUGUUUGUUGAUUGAUUCCAUAAAUCUCCUUCAGAGCAUAUAGCCAGAGGACUAGAGGCCUCUCUCAUUUCCUUAGAUCCUUUAGAAGGGAUCAUUGAGUCUGUUUUAUAGUUGAGGAACUGGAGAACUCUGGGAUAUGGAAGGCUGCCCAAAUUCCCCAGGCCCCUAGGUGGAGAGUCUGGACUGUACCCCAGCCUGGUCUUCUUAGCAACAGCUCAGGGCUGUCAUAGAUGGUAUGCCAGAAGGCAGGCAGCUGAGUCUAUCAGCUAGAAAUAGGUAACCCCAUCCUUGUGACGGGGAGGUGCCCCUGGUAUUUCCCCCCUUGUCAACAAGAUUACCAUUUGAGAUGGCUGGUUUGGGGUCCCAUCCUCACCAUUUUCAUCUGGGACCCUAUAGCUGAGUCACCAGCUUGCAAUACUGUGGGGCUGGCGAGGGAUUAGCCUGCAGCAGCUAAAAAUAAGGUUGGCCAAAAUAGCAGAACUGCUAGGGAUGAUGGGAAAGAAGUAAACAACCUAGUGGGCAUUGACAGGUUCUGAACUGACAGAAAGAGACAAUAAAGGGGGAAAAAAAUCACAUUAACUUAUGAUUAUCUUUUUUUUCUUUUCAUUGAUUUUUUAAAAUGAAUUUUUGUUUUUGUUACCUUAAGUUCCCAAUACUUGCUUACCUUCUCCACAGCCAGAAAACAAUUUCUCAUAAUAAAAAAUAAAAAAGGAAAUUGAGGAGAAAAGCUUCUCAGUAAAACUAACCAACACUUCAUCUCUAUCUGAAAGCUUACACUGUAUUCCAAACCCAUCAUCCCAUCUUCCCUUCAUACUAAACUGAGGCAAAGAAGGGAGGGAUGUGCAUUCCUGUGUUUCUUCCUCGAGGGCAACACGAUGCAGGCUAUUAUCCUUGCAUAGCAGUUUCCAUUUCUCUGUUCUUUCAAUUUAUGAUGUUGUAGUUGCUGUAUAUGUUAGAGUCUUGAUUUUGCUUAAUUCUCUCUGCACCAGUUCAUGUAAGUAUUCCUAUGUUGUAGCUUUCAUAAUUCUUAUUGCCCAGAAAUUGUAUUCUUGGACCACAAUUUGCUUAGCCAUUUCCCAAUCCACAGACAUCAACUUUGUUGCUAGUUCUUUGAUACCACAGAAAGUGCUGCUAUAAAGAUUUGGAUGUAUAUGAGACCUUUCUGCCUUUUAUUUUUCCUGGAUGACUUGACCAAGCUGUUGAUGAGUCCUUUCAGUCUCUUGGUGAUCUCUUUUGGGGUUUUCUUGGCAAAGGUACUGGAAUGGCUUGCCAUUUUCUUCUCCAGCUCAUUUGACAUGUGGGGAAAUUGAGGCAAACAGGGUUAAGUGGAUUGUCCAGAGUCACUCAUUUGGCAAAUGUCAGUGGUCAGAUUUGAACUCUAGAUACAGCCACCUAACUUCCCUCAUUGAUAGCUUUACCAGAAGUAUAUUCAAUCCAUGUCCUUUCCACAAUCCCUCUAACAUGAAACAUUUCCCAUCUUUUCCCUUUCACUGGGUGUGAGUUGAAACCCUAGAGUCAAUAAGCCUUUCUUCCUCUCCUCAAAUUCUCAUCUUAGGGGGCAGCUGGGUAGCUCAGUGGAUUGAGGGCCAGGCCUAGAGACGGGAGGUCUUGGGUUCAACUAUGACCUCAGACACUUCCCAGCUGUGUGACCCUGGGCAAGUCACUUGACCCCCAUUGCCUAGCCCUUACCACUCUUCUGACUCCAAGAUGGAAGGUAAGGGUUCUAAAAUUAAAAAAAAAAAUUCUCAUCUUAAAUGUACUUCAUUUGGCUAAUUUGCUCAUUCUUUCUUCUCCUUUCCUGCAGGGCAAAAGCGAAGGCCAGCAGAGAGUAAACCCUCGAUUCUCUCACCAGGUUUGCCCUCCCUUCAGAAGGGACUGACUCCCUUCAGAUCACCACCUCAAGAGCCAGUCCUGGUUCCUGAAGUGAAGGCUCCUGGCCAGUUUGACUCACAAGAUUCCCUGGAUGACAUCCAGUGCUCUUGGACAACUCCCCUUGGAAACUCUAGUCAGUGGAUGGAAAGUUGCAAAUAACUCCUUUUCCUUUUUCUCCGUCUCACCCCUCCAUCCUCAAGUAAGAUGAAGACCCCACACUGAAAGGCAGUCAGGAAGGGUCACCCUCUGAGGGAAGGAGCCAACAGGACAUCCACCCUUCAGAGAUGCAAUUUAUGGUCUACAGAAAGUUUCUGAGUCAUAGUAAGAGUUUAUCUUGUCCUUUAUUGGGAAACAGUGUAAAGAGCUCUUUCCAUGAGUUACCUCCCUGGAGGUAUGGAAUAGAGUCUGCAAAUUAUAGCUUUUUCACAGUAGCACCCAGGACCCAAACAGAAGGGAAUAAGGUAAGGGGAAGAAGUGUUUUAUAGGCAUUAUCUUAUUCGAGAUUUACUUCAUGGAUGAUUCCUUUUGGAGCUGAAAGGGACCUGAAAGACUGUCUUAUCCAAACUGGACUUUCUACCCAGAAGUGGCAGCUGAAGCCUAGAGAAGACUCCUGUGCAAACUGUUCCCCCUGGUGUAAGGCUGCCCCCUCCUCAUCUUCGCCUCUUUGACUCCAUAGUAACAACAACAACAACAACAACAACAACAAUGGCUGGCAUUUAUAUAGCACCUACAAGGUGUCAGUUACCCUGCUAAGUGCUUACAAAUAUCUCAUUUGAUCUUACCACAACUCUUCAAGGUGGGUACUAUUAUGAAUCUAAUUUUACAAAUGCAGAAACUGAGGCAAACAGAGAUUCAGUGACAUGCCCAGGGUCAUAGAGCUAGUAAGUAUCUGAGGCCAGAUUUGAAUUCAGAUCUUCCUGACUUCAGGCCCAGAACUCUAUCCUUUUUGCUCCAGCUAGCUGCCUCACGUGGGACAGCUACCUCAGAUUCUAGGUAGUCUGCAGAUCCCUAUCCAUACCAAGCCAUACUUCAUGAGCCCACACCAGUGCUUUCACAUUGACUGAUUGGUCAGAGGAGGCAAAGAAACCUUUUGUAGAUGCCUCAGUCAUCUGUUUAGCAUAUAUAAUGUUGAUUUUUAAAAAAUGGAAACAGUGAUGGCAUUAUAGAGCUACUCAAAUGGAUGGAUGACCUCAUAAAUGGGCAUGUCCUGCACCAUCAGUUCACAGGGGGUUGGUUCACCCACCAUUCUGGAAGCCUUCCUCAAUUUCUUCCUGACAUGGGAAAAUAGCCCUGGAGCCCUCUGGCUGUCCACCUGUCACCCUUCAUCUCUGGCACAUGAUCAGCCUAAAGAGGCCAUCAGUCAUGCCAUGACCAUUUGAAUAUUUAACCCCACGUGAAGAGAGAAGCAUAAAAAGAAAUUCUGAAAGAAAUCUCUGAAGUCUUCCAUUACGUCAAUGUACCAUGAUCUGUUAAACGGUUAUUGUUGACUAUUUGGAUUACUUCCAAUUUUUUGCAUUUAUAACAAAAAUAUCUGAACAGACAGCUCUGUUUUGGUUCUUUGUAACUUGAUAACACUUAGAGAGCAUAUUUGUAACUAUGAAAUUGUUAGGACAAAGAGCAUGAUUAUUUUUGUAACUGUUGUUAGGUAUGCCAUAAAGUAAACAAGAGGACAAGCACAAAGAGUACAAAGAAAUCUAGGAGAAAAAAACUUCAAGAAAUAAUGCCUAUCAAAAAACACAGAACUAGAAUAAUGGUAUUUACUUUGACUAGGAUCACAUUCUAUAAAGAAAUGGGAAACAAAAACGAAUGGGUAAGAGGCAGCUAGGUAGCACAGUGGAUAGAUCACCAGGCCUGGAGUCAGGAGGAUCUGGCUCUAAAUUUGGCCUCAGACACUUCCUAGCUGUGUGACCUUGGACAAGUCACUUAAUCCUAGUUGCUUAGCCUUACCCCUCUUCUGCCUUGAAACUGAUGGUAUCAAAUCUAAGACAGAAGGAAAGAUUUAAGAAAAAAAAAAGAAUAGAAAGAGAGAAUGGAUUGAGUCUCCAUGGGAAUAUAGAGAUAAGAAAUGAAAAGACGUCAUGGCAUAUCAUUGUAUUGAAAUGAAUCACUGUAAAUAUAGUUAAGAAGUAAGAAUAACGGUUUCUGCUGAUUUUUGUUGUCGUUUCUAAUAAACCAUUUAAUUUAAAAUAAUAUUUUAAGUGCGUGGCCCUUGGAGGCUGCUUUCUGAAAGCCUGGCCUUGAGUUUUCAGAUUCAUGAACAGAUCUGUAAAAGAAAAUGUAACAAGAGGCUGCUCUCUUUACAGAAUGAGUAAUUCUUUGCAGCUUUCCUAGGGAAAAACAUCCCAUUUUAUUUUGACCACUAGGGGACAGACAUGAAUCACACUUUUAUUCCAAGGGGCUGUUUUAUCUUUGGUUUGGGGGAGUCUCUCUGUGGCCAGGGGCUCUGUCUUAGGCCCCUUCUCCUUCUCUGUUCUCUCUUCUAAGAUUUCAUCAGACCUUUUCUCACUCUUUAUUCUCCUUAACAUUUCUGAAGCAUUUGACAUUGUUGACUCCUUUUUUUUCUCCUGGAUACUCUCUGAGUUUCCAUGGUAAUACUUCCUCUUGAUUCUCCUCCUCCAUCUCCUUUGCUGGGUCAGCAUUGGCAACUGUGGCUAUACUGCAAGUCCCUAUUCCUUGACCCUCUUCUCUUUUUUCUCCUCUGUCCUUAUUAGAGACCAGGUUUGAUGGAAUAAUUCAGCCCAUUAAAACUCAUGGAUUUGAUUAUUGUAGCUAUUCAGAUGAUCUACAUGUUUAUAUACAUAUAUGUAUGUGUAGAUAUAUAUCUUUUAUGUACAUAUAAACAUUUAUAUAUGUGCAUGUUUGUAUCUAUCCAUCUAUUUCCUUAGAAUAAUGGUGUGAGUAGGAGUUUUGCAAAUGUUGAAUUUGAGAUAGAAUAUAUAUAUAUAUUUGUGUAUAUAUAUAUAUUCAGCCUUUGUCUUUAUCCUGAGCUCUAGUCCCAUAACAUUGUUUCCAAAUGGAUGCCUUGUAGGCAUCUUAAAACCCAAAAUGCCCAAAACAGAACUCAUUAUCUUCGCCCUAAGAUCCCCCUUUUCUAAACUCCGCUGUUCCUGUCAAGGACGCCGCCAUCUUUCCCAUCUCAGAUUCACAACCUUGGCAUCUCUCAGGUUCAUAACUUAGAACAAGCAUCACUUGUGCAACCAUGUCCCAAUCGAUGGGCGCCUCUUCAGUUUCCAAUUCUUUGCCAGCCACCACAUAAAGAGCUGCUCUAAAUAUCUUCUGUACAUACGGGCCCCUUUCCUCUUUCUUUGAUCUCUUUGGACCUGCUAGUGGUAUUGUUGGGUUCCAGGGUAUUCUAGAAUGGCUGGAUCAGCCAUUUAUAGCUGUACCAACAGGACCUCAUGUACCUCAUCGGCCCUCCAGCUCCUCUUCGAUAAUUCUUGGAUCUGACCCGUUUUCUUCCCUCUCCUGGCCUCAGCUAAACUGUUUAAUUUCUGAGAACAAAAUAUCCUGAAAGCAUAGAUGUUAGAUCUGGAAAUGCCUCAAAAGAUCAGCUAGUCUGUUCUCAUAACUUCAGGAAAGUCAAAUAUUAACUCCGUGUACAGCCAAAGUAACCAAGCUGGGAGGGAUCAUGGAGCACCUGGCUCAAUCUUAUGGUAACCCUCACAGCUUUAGUUUGUCAAACAGAAAUCUGUCUCUUGUUUCUACUCAUUACUGCCCUCUGGGACCACGUAGAGCAAAUCCAAACCUUCUUCCACGUGACAACUCCUCAAAAACUCAGUCUAUGAUCAGAGACUUCUCUUUAACUUAAAUGGCAUUGGUUCCUUCAUUGGAUCCUUAGGUGAUACAGUCCCCAGUCCCAUUGUUAUCCUCUGGGCAUGCUGGGUAAUGUGUCAAUGUCCUUCCUAAAAUGGGACCCCUAGAACCGAAUACAAGGCCAGGUAACCCAAAGCCUUGUUAAAAUAUGAGCAUAUUCCAGAAAAAGUAAAUGAGGAUGAGAGGAUGACUGAUGAGAAUGAAGAGAACGUGGGGGGCGGGGGGCAAUUGUGAACUGUAAAAUCUAUGCACUGGAAUGAACUGAUUUUCUUAUAAAUAAUCACCAUGUUGAUGUUCAUUGCUAAUCUUUUAAUAUAACAUUUUAAAACUUUUUAAUAGUAAUUAUAAUGUUAUAAAGUAAUAAUUAGCACAUGACAUAUAUCAUUUCAUCUUCAGUCCUAAUGUUCAUAGUUUAUUUUUUAAGAUUCAAAUCAUUUCACAAAGUGGAAGACCUUUUUUCAAUAAAGCAGAAAUGAAAUUUC